GCCUUGGGGGCUGGGAUGCAGGAGGAAGGUAGGAAGUGCGGGGGGAGGGCCGGCGCGGGCGGGCGCGGGCGGGCCCUGGGCUGGCUCGCUGCCCCUAAUCCGCCCGGCCGGGCGCCGCCACGGUCCCGGAGCAGCUGUGCGGCCGGCUCCGCUGCGGCGGCCGUCCUUGGCGAGGGAGCGGGGCGGGCGGCGGGAGGAAGCGGGCUCCCGAGAGACGGGCUCGUGCGCGGCGACCUGGGCCACCGCCAGCGGCCGCAGCCCUGAGUCGGGGCUGGUCGCCCUGCAGGCGGGCCGGCUGGGGCCCGUCCCCGGCGCGCUCCGGUGAGGAAUGCGUAACCUUUCUGUCCUUGGCCAGCAGUGGCCUUCUGUCUCCAACUUUUACAGUAGGGCCUGGCCCCCUGCCUUCCGUGUCAGGGGAGGGCGUGUGCUCCUUUCCAGCCCUUCUUUCUCGGAUAGACUUCUCGCUCGCGAGAGGCUCGGCCGGCGGGAAGAGGCGGUGGGAGGCCGUGAGUGUUACGUUCCUGCCGCAAAUGAGGAGACGAUGAGUUUUCCUUUUUUAGCUUUGCUGGUAAAUACUGCUGCCUUGGCCCUCGGUUCCUAAAGUGAAAAGCUCGGUUAGCAGUCCCCCGCACUUCCUUCUGUUGGCCUGAGAAUCAUGCAAUAAUGUAAGGAGAUUUAGGGUCAAAUUUUAGAUUUGUAUGUAGUUUAGAAAAUAAUCGUAUCCAGGUUUUUGUGCUGAAUGGAGUUUAGGUUCAUUUACAGUAUGUUCAGGGAGUGUGUAGUUAAGGAAGUAAAAACUUGUAAGAUACUUCGGGUUUUGUGAGGGUGUUUGAUUUAUUAUACACAGUUGCUAAAAGUGUUGUCUUCAAACUUGUGAGUUUUUUGAGAGACAAACCUCUCCCAUUUCUCCUGAAUUCAGUUAUAAUUAAAUAGUAUUUUUAAAUGUGUUGCUUGGGUACAGGCAAUUAUGGUUGAUAGUGGGAAAAGUAAUGCGUUUGGGUAGUUAUUUUGCAGUGAUAGCUAGAAGAUCCUUUUCUUCAUGUUGAAAGGGGCUGUGGGUCCUUCCCUCUUCACUAAAUUGAAGCUCUGUUAAAUUUGAGAGACUGGAGAAUUAGGCAGGUGUGAGGGAAACAAAACACCUGUUCAGAAAUGAGAGGAAAUUUGCAAACGACGGAAUUCAGACUUCUAGAAUGAAGAGAUCAGUAUUAUACAAGAUGAGAGUAGAAUUUGGAUCCCCAGUAAUGAGUUGUCAACAUUGCCUCAUGUGACCUCAGGACUGGAGUAAAAGGAGGCCUGGUCACUCUUGCCCUUUGCCUGUAUGGGUGUUCUAAGCAUUGCACAAUCACUUAAGAGUGGACUUCAUUAAAUAACCAGAUAAAACGAGA